GGGUGUGAGGACAAUCUGGCUGUGAGGUGGGUCACCAUACUGAUUGCCAGGGUUGAUUCUACUGAUCUGGCUGGCUAGGAGGGUACCUGCUUCCUCCCUCAUUGUGGCUCCCUGUGUGUCCCUCUUGAAAUUGUGUGCUUCCCGGAGAGAGGAGGACAGAUCUUCUAUCAUGGGGCAUGCAAAUAGCUGUGCUCCCCUGCUGGAAUCUUCAAACAAUCUCUCCAGGGUGUGAACUAGCUGACUAACAAAUUUAUGUUAAUAAUAGUAGAGACUUGUGGUGGGGGGUGAGUGGGCUCUGAUACUAAAGUGGGUUUUACCCUUUUGU
rnacentral:snRNA from 1 species